UGGAGAAGCGUGACAGCAGCGAGGGUAGAAGGAGGAGGGGAUGCGUUGACAGGAAGCAUGGGGCGUAAAGGCGGGGGAGGGGGCCCGGUAAGUCCGCUGUAAAAGUCAAAGGCGAAACCUUUGAAUGUCAGUGGAUACGGACGGGCUAGAGGCCUGAAGAGACGAGGGGAACUCCGGGUGUAGCGGGGGAAUGCGCAGAUAUCAGGAAGAACACCGACGGCGAAGGCAGCGCGCUGGGACGGUACUGUCGCUGAGACGCGAAAGCGUGGGGAGCGAACAGGAUUAGAUACCCUAGUAGUC
rnacentral:rRNA from 1 species